rnacentral:lncRNA from 1 species
CCGACAAGAAGUUGUGCGCGACAUCAAGCUGCUCGAGGCUGGCAAUGCCGCUGAUCUCCUCCUGCAGGGUGUCCAUAGUCUAUUUAGAUGUCUCGAUUCAUUGGGCUCAUGAGCUUGGUAAGACUCGACGUUAUCUCGCAUGCAAAUAGAUUGUCACCCUUCCAUGCAAGUAAUAUAACCGAAGGUGGUGAACUCCCAAAUCUUCUAAACUAUGAUUCUUAAAGCAUCUCCGAUUUUUGUAUUCAAGUCUUAGAUACAAAUUGGAACAAUGCUGUGCAAUAAAAAAAGGCUUGAAAGUGUUUCGGCUAUUCGCAUGGUUUCUAAAUCAGCAACAUCUUUCAAAAACAUCAGCACUCAUUAUCACAUCCAAAUCGUUGUCUGUUUCACUUAAUUCAGUAUUCACAUUAAACCUGUAGGCUUUGACUCAACGACCCUUCGCUGCUUCUAUUGAGCCUACGAUGUUUUAGUUGUAGAAUCUUGCGACCAAGGUUUAUAAUAUCGAAUUGUACUGCUUGGUACGGGCGGUAUGUAUCGGUUCGAUAAGUUAUUAGUGCAUGGAUCGUCCGUUAUCGGGCGGUACGUUUAAAAAAAUCUUGUAUCGGACGAUACGGGGUAAUAUCGGGUGGUAACGGUCGAAAUUUUGAUCGUUAUCAUUUGGCACAACUCGGUAAUGAUUGAUUUCGAUCGUUAUCGCUCGAUACAAUUCGGUAACGAUCGAUCGCACUAUAAUAGUGAUAUGCUCUCUAACGGUCAAUUUGACCAUUGGAACCCUUUCUCAUUAUAUUUAAGUCAUUUUCUCUCCCCUAUUUCAUUAUACUCUUUUAAACUCUUUUUCAAAUCAUUUUUUUUCUCCUAAAUUUUGAAUUAAUUGAAUUAUGAUUUAUAAAACAAUGAUUUAUGAAUUAAUCGAAAUUUGGGAAGAUUAAAAGGAAGAACUUUCUAAUCAAGAUGUAUGUAUUCAUUUUCUUUAAUUAGAGAGUAAUUAAGAUCUUUAAGAUUAUGAUUAGUAUGUUUCAUGCAUAUUAAAUAUUGAAUAAUAUUUAUGAUAGUAAAAUAAGUUUAAUUAAGUUUUAUUAAAAUUAUUUAAUGCUACGAUUAGUUAUUUUAUUGAUGAUUUAAUCGAAAUUUAUUUAAUUUUAUAUCAAUUCAAUGGUUUUAAUACCUAUUAUGGUAUUUGUCAUUUUUAUAGUGUUGAAAGAGAAGUAAUUAGUGAAAAAUUAAUUAUGUUAAUCGUAUAAUUAGUGUAGAUAAAUGAUGAUUUUAUCAUAAUUUAAAUCAUAUUGGAUUAAAAUUACGUAUUUAAUGUUUCCGUGUUUGACAUAUAUAUGAUGGUAAAAUAAGUUUAAUUAUGUUUUAUUAAAGUUAUUUAAUAUCGUGAUUAGUUAUUUUAAUGAUGAUUUAAUCAAAAUUUGUUCGAUUUUAUGUUAAUCUAAUAUCUUUAAUACCUAUUAGGGUGUUUGCCAUAUUUAUAGUAUUGAAAGAGAAGUAAUUAGUAAAAAUUAACUAUAUUAAUCGUGUAAUUAGUGUAUUUAAUGAUUUUAAUAUUUUUUUAUGCAUGUAACAUAUUUAUGAUGAUAAAAUAUGAUUAGUUAUGUUUUAAUAAAAUUAUUUAAUAUUGCGAUUAGUGAUUUAUGAUCGAUAUUUGAUCAAUUUAAUAUGUUUAUAUUUUAUAGUUUAUUUGAUUUAAAUUUGGUAGGAUCAUGGCACCAAAGGAACAACCACAUGAUGAUGCAUGAGUUCAUUCCCGAAAGAUAAAUGAAAAUCGUCAUCAUUGGCAAUGUAUUUAUUGUGACUACAUUGACAAGGGUGGAGGAAUAACUCGGGUGAAAAUGUAUUUGGCUGGUAGGUAUCCUGAUGUUGCAAAAUGCAAGAAUGUUUCAACGGAGAUCCGUAAAUUAUUUCAAAGCAAGCUUAAACAAGCAAAGGAAGAUAUAUUAAAAAAGAAGGCAAGAGUUGAGGAAUAAUAUCAUAGGGCUACACAGGAACCAGUUUAUGAUUAGUAUGAGGGUUGCGGCGAUUAAGUCGACCCAGAUCUCACAGUUGAGAUUCGUGCAUCAUUGGAGCAUCAGUAUACGAUUGAUGAAGCAAUGAGGCAUCGAUGACAUGACUCACAAUUGGAGCAUGGCAGUGGUAGUGGAAUCCAAAGGUCAACCAGGCAUGAGGCAACCAACUGUUCCUUCUUAGUUAGGCCGAACUAGUAGCAUGAGGUAUGGUGGACUACAUGGUUUUAUGAGAGGUCUUGGCUAGAGGUCCGCACCAGAUAUUGUUGAUAUUGAUCCGCAAGCCUAUCCCCUACAAACAACGAAACAGACACGAAUUGACGAUGCAUACACAAAAAAAAAAACAAUUGGAUAUUGGGAAGGCAAUCUUAAAAUGGUUCAACUUCCACAGGAUUUCAACUAACACAGCCCAAGGUCCAUAUUACCAGAGCAUGGUCUCUUCUAUUCAAAAGUCUAGCACGGGGAUCCAACCUCCAACACCAAAAGAGAUUUACGGCGUGUUCUUAGAUGAGGAGGUUGCAGAACUAAAGGAUUGGAUCAAAUCCUUCAAGAGGCAAUGAGACGAAUAUGAGGUGACAUUGAUGUGUAACAGUUGGAUAGAAUCAACAAGAAUGAGUAUCAUAAACUUUCUUAUUUAUUACAAUAGAAGAAUGGUGUUUCAUAAGUCCGUUAAUGCUUCUGAAAAAAUCCAAGAUGCAAACUACAUUGAGAGCUUGAUAGACACUAUGGUAGAGAAGAUUGGACCAUAGUAUGUUAUCCAAAUAAUAAUCGACAAUGAAGUAAAUUUCAAAAAGGCCGGUUUGCAAUUGAUGGAAAAAAGAAAAACUUUGUUUUGGACUCCAUGUGCAGCUCAUUGGUGAGUUGGAUGUGUAAGCAUAAAGAUAUGUAAUUAUGCUAUAUCAAUAAUGCGGAAAUAACCUAAAUGCCAGGAUUGAAAUCAAUGCAUAGAUCUAUACGAUGCGUACCAUUUGAUGCCAUAUGUUCAGAGAUCCUGUAGAUCUGCUAAGCACCGUCUUUAAUCCAAGAUUGCUGCAGGCUCCGUCUUUAAUCCGAUCGCGCUGCGGAAUCUGUAGGGAGUGCGGAGAGUAGACCCUUUCUCCUCUCUUCCUAUCCUUUCACAGGAUCCACACAGAUUGAUGGAUUUGGGGAGAGGGUUUUGGGGAGAGAGUCGAGGAGAAUAACUGAAUCCCUCAACGGAGAGGUACGUCUAUACGUGUCAACGUUAUGACGCUCUAACACACUAACACACCCUCAACCCCUAGAGAUCCUGUCCUUUUAUAGGCGAGAGCAGAGGGUCUACGAUGAGAUCUCAGAAGAUUUCCU